UACGGAGGGAGCUAGCGUUGUUCGGAAUUACUGGGCGUAAAGCGCACGUAGGCGGCUUUUUAAGUCAGGGGUGAAAUCCCGGGGCUCAACCCCGGAACUGCCCUUGAAACUGGAGAGCUAGAAUCUUGGAGAGGCGAGUGGAAUUCCGAGUGUAGAGGUGAAAUUCGUAGAUAUUCGGAAGAACACCAGUGGCGAAAGCGGCUCACUGGACCAUUACUGACGCUGAGGCACGAAAGCUAGGGGAGCAAACAGG
rnacentral:rRNA from 1 species